rnacentral:rRNA from 1 species
UACUACGGCCAUGCCACCCUGAACGAGCCCCCGAUCCCAUCUGAUCUCAGAAGCUAAUCAGGGUUGGGCCUGGUUAGUACUUGGAUGGUUAGUACCUAGGAAAAUCAGGUGCCGUAGGCG